rnacentral:rRNA from 1 species
UACGUAGGGUGCAAGCGUUAAUCGGAAUUACUGGGCGUAAAGCGUGCGCAGGCGGUGAUGUAAGACAGGUGUGAAAUCCCCGGGCUUAACCUGGGAACUGCAUUUGUGACUGCAUCGCUGGAGUGCGGCAGAGGGGGAUGGAAUUCCGCGUGUAGCAGUGAAAUGCGUAGAUAUCGGGAGGAAUACCGAUGGCGAAGGCAGGUCUCUGGGCUGACACUGACGCUCAUGCACGAAAGCGUGGGGAGCAAACAGG